rnacentral:lncRNA from 1 species
GAUUUACUACACGGGCUUGGCGAAUAAAACUCCACUUUUGGGGUCAGGCCCUUCGCUAACUCAGACCAGCUAGACCGGCCUUUUCCCGGAAUCCUGAGAGCAACGCAGGCCAAGGCAAAGUCCCAAAAGGACCAGUGAGGACAUACAGACCAGCUCGCACCAGGGCACGGUCGCCGGCUCCUGACGGCGGGGCCCUCGGUCCGCGAGGUGAAUGAACCAGGGCUGAAGAGAAACAGGCCCUCC